rnacentral:rRNA from 1 species
CCCUUAGAUGUUCUGGGCCGCACGCGCGCUACAAUGAUGAAUUCAACGAGUUUAUAACCUUGGUUGAAAAGCCUGGGUAAUCUUUUGAACUUUCGUCGUGAGGGGGCUAGACCCUUGCAAUUAUUGGUCUCCAACGAGGAAUUCCUAGUAAACGCAAGUCAUCAGCUUGCAUUGAUUACGUCCCUGCCCUUUGUACACACCGCCCGUCGCACCUACCGAUUGAAUGGUCCGGUGAAAUCUUCGGAUUGAGACUUUGAUUUGUUUACUCAAAACGCUGUUUCAAGAAGUUGAUUAAACCUUACCAUUUAGAGGAAGGUGAAGUCGUAACA